CUAGGCUAUGCCUCUUCCUCUCAUCUGUUGCUCAGUUUUUGCCGUGUGCUGGUACUCACUUGUCUUGGUGUGAACUAAAGAAGAGCACAAGCAGUUUGUGAACCUAACCUUCCAGAAUCUUACAUUUUUAAGAAGUUGCUCCCCACUACAAGUCAUUCUCUCUACAUGCAGAUAGUCCACCUCAGCAUGCAUGACAUGUCAUCAUUCAGUUACAAAUAGCUAUCUGCUCUUGUCAUUUUUUUCCUCUCCUGAAACAUCUGUUCCAGACUUCCCGUCUUCUCCACGGCAGCACCUCUAAUCUUCUCCAUGCUAAUUACUCUCCCACCCAUUAAUUUCCCUCUUCCUAUUUAUCGUUUCCACCAAAUCUUACUCCUCAUCCUCUCAUAUAUUGUUUCCAUAAUCUUCUCCAUGGUCCCCGGUCGGUCUGGCCUCACCAAGAAAAGGUGCGAGAGGAGUAGGUCGGGAGGAUUCCAGGCGAGCAAUUGUUCUUGAUGCACGGUUCCUGGAGGCAGCGACGGGCCAGCACCCUUCACCCCCUCCCGUAUUAACAGGUUGCGGCGGCUCAGCGGGCCGGCGGCUACUUCAGCGCAAGCUGGAGGCAACAACGGGUGAGGCGGCAAGGCGGCGACCAGGGAUCAGACGGCAAGCCGGAGGCUACAGGGCGACGAUUCACAACAGGGAAGGAGGGAUUGAUGCACCAAAGAACAGAUGAAGACACUGAAGAGCAGGACAAGGGAUGCAACAGGAAGGAGUAGGUCGUCGUCAAGGGAUCACGCCCAGUGCACGCGGCAAUGAUGGCCUCCAUGGUUGGAGGGCAACCGAUGGCCAUACCAUAAAAGCACGCUAAUGCGUGCCCGGGUGUAUACAUGUAUCCAUCUAUUGUGCGGCGGGAUGAACUCUAGUGCUAGGCCCCUUUCGCUCCCUCGCUGCAGCAUCAACACAUCUUCAUAUGUUAGUCUGUUUUCAUUCACAUUAUUCCUUCUGCAUGCAAUGUAAGUAUGCAAAUUGAUUAAGGGCAAGAAUCAAACAAAGGGUUGUGCGUGUGUUUAAUUCUACCGACCACUCCUAUUUUGUUUCACCAAAUUAGCAAGUA